AAGACUGGUGCGACAAUUGUAAUGCCAAGCCAAAAUCUGUUUAUUUUCUUCCUCAUCUUAGGCAUAGAUAGAAUUCGCUCGCCUGCGCUUGAAUGGCCUUUAUAGCCUUAAGGCGAUCUAUCCAACUAUCCAAAGCCUAACCCAAUACAGAUCUGAUCCUAAAUCGCUCUACGCUUUGAGCCGGCUAACUCUUUGAAGCCCACUGAUGCCUUUUGAAGACCUUCUUCCCUCUACCCUGAUGAAAAGAGUUCCAGUGAGCUCGCCAAGG
rnacentral:lncRNA from 1 species